rnacentral:rRNA from 1 species
AUUGAACGCUGGCGGCAUGCUUUACACAUGCAAGUCGAACGGUAACAGGCCGCAAGGUGCUGACGAGUGGCGAACGGGUGAGUAAUGCAUCGGAACGCGCCCAGUCGUGGGGGAUAACUAUCCGAAAGGAUAGCUAAUACCGCAUACGAUCUGCGGAUGAAAGCGGGGGACCUUCGGGCCUCGCGCGAUUGGAGCGGCCGAUGUCAGAUUAGGUAGUUGGUGGGGUAAAGGCUCACCAAGCCAACGAUCUGUAGCUGGUCUGAGAGGACGACCAGCCACACUGGGACUGAGACACGGCCCAGGCUCCUACGGGAGGCAGCAGUGGGGAAUUUUGGACAAUGGGCGCAAGCCUGAUCCAGCAAUGCCGCGUGCAGGAAGAAGGCCUUCGGGUUGUAAACUGCUUUUGUACGGAACGAAACGGCUCUGGUUAAUACCUGGGGCUAAUGACGGUACCGUAAGAAUAAGCACCGGCUAAUUACGUGCCAGCCGCCGCAGUAA